AAAAUGGUAAGACGAAACUAAUGUAACGACGAGAGAGGGGAGAAGGUAGAGAGAGGUGGGAGGAGGAAUCACGUGACCAACUCGGCGUGGGCUUCAUCUGCGCUGCCUAACUGCCGGUCUCAGUGCGUUGGUAGCCAUCGAAAGGGAAGGAGUAUCCUGCUGCUGCUCUGUCCGUCUGCUCUUCUACGUCUCUUCUGUGCUGAUGGAUUCGUUCUUAUGGGUGCUUUGUGAGUGAUGCCGCCGUCACCAUCACUGUCGUUACCACCACCACCCACAUCUCGAGCACUACCGCUUUCACCGUGGGACUCCGGAUCAUCGUUGUUCUUGUUGGAAGAGUAUCUUAUUGUGUUCAGGGCUAUGUAAAAUGUCAAUCACGUGUGUAAUUUUGUGUGGACUAAGGGUAACUAUUUCUUCAACAGUUGUUGCGCCAUCAGUUUUCUGCUGCUGCCGCCACCAGGAAGGACACCGGUGACCUCCCUACUGCACUCCCUUGAGGUAUUCCCCGCUACAUGUGAUCUUGUGUGUCAGACUCGGUUGCCGUUGCCGGUGAUGAGCUGCUGUGUAUCUAAGAGUUCAAAGGACUCCUAACUUUUUUUUUUUUUUUUUUGUCGUCGUCCGUGGAAGUGUGUUCGGAGUGUUUUUGGUGUCCGUGGAAGUGUGUGUGUCUGCUGUUCUCCGGAGAGUUUGAGGUAAAAUUUUCUGUAUCAAAUAAAAAAAACCUAUUUAUUUUUCUA